CGAGGCGUGAGGGGCUGCGAGGGUACCGCUGCCGCCGCUGAGGAGAUUGGGAGGCCGGCGGGGAGGCCGCGCACGGAGGCGGUUCAGGCCCUCAGAAGCCGCCGAGCCCCGGCGGGAACAGCCCUGCCUAGGCGGCGGCGGGAAUGGGGCGGUUAAAAUGGACCUGUCUCCUGGCUGGUUGUACGGUGAGGGCUCGGACGGCGCUGGAAUGGCGGGGUUGUCUUCGCCAUCCCGGUGCCGAGGCCGUAGCUGUCGUCUCCGCAGAUGUCCGGCGUCUGCCGUGGUGGAGGCUGAGCUACCGGUGUAUUUGGAUCAUCUUUAAAAAAAAAAACCUACAACCUUAUCUCUAGCCUCACGCAGAAGUGAACGAGCCGGCAUAAACAACUUGGUGUUUACACCAGAAUGAGGAGACGCGCACGGUUCUCCUGUCUGCACGGAGAAGAAAUCGGUUUCUUCAUUGUGGUUUCAAACUCUUCUCAAAGUCACAGGAAACGGCACAAGUGGAAGUAAUAUCAGCAAGGCUUGUCUCCCAGCACACCAGUUGAUGCUGCGAAUGUCCUUAAAUCCUGAAGCUCAGAGCUGCAAAUCAAAGCAAAGCCGAGGAGGCAGCUGUGACGGAAGGAUUGCAUAAGGGGCUUAGCCUGAGGCUGCUCGUGGCUGCAGCAGCUCAGAGGAGAGCAGCUUUACCUUUGCCUCCAUCUAAAUGGAUGCCCAGACCAUGUCCAGGAAUGACCCAGGAUGCCCAGCGCCCAAGACCAUGUCCAGGAAUGACCCAGGAUCCCAAAAGCCACAUCCUUCAGCAAGAACUAAAUUCUCAUGUGCUCACACGCCUCACUUUAAAAAAUGGGGCUGAGCUCCUAUGGCACUUAGUCUCACAGAAACUGCGUGUUCAGCCUCCUAGUCCUGCCUGCAAUGUGAGCUUUUUGCUUUUUCUCCUUAAUUUCAGGACACUGAUGUCUGCGGAUUUCUACUAGUUGUUCUGUGACAUGUAACUGGGAUGAAAUCAACGUGCUUCUAAAAAUUACUCCAAGAACUAUGUUAAUAACAGGGGAGGAUUUCCAAUCUAUACCCAAAAUGGUCUGCUUUUACCACAACAUACCAUCCUAUGGGAAGGAUGUAAUUCUCUAUUAAAACCUUUAAAGUAGUUUUCUCUAAGGAGCUAAUCACAUGUAUUUGUAGCUGAAUAUGUCUUCUUGCUUAUGAAGAGAAUAGGCUUGCAAAGAGCUGCAGAAAAAGCCUUUGAUGCAACAUUAAUUUUUCUUUCCCCUGUAAGUACUGUACCGUCGUGCAGUGACAGGUCGAAAGAAUUAUUUUGUAUCUUACGUACUUCUUUAUUUUGCAACUUCCAGGAUGCACUGAUAUCCUCCACCAAAAAAAACGGCCAAAUACAGAUGACUAGACUUGA